UACGGGGGGGGUAAGCGUUGUUCGGAAUUACUGGGCGUAAAGGGCGCGUAGGCGGCCUACUAAGUCGGACGUGAAAUCCCUCGGCUCAACCGAGGAACUGCGUCCGAUACUGGCAGGCUGGAAUCCGGGAGAGGGAUGUGGAAUUCCAGGUGUAGCGGUGAAAUGCGUAGAUAUCUGGAGGAACACCGGUGGCGAAGGCGGCAUCCUGGACCGGUAUUGACGCUGAGGCGCGAAAGCUAGGGGAGCAAACGGG
rnacentral:rRNA from 1 species